rnacentral:rRNA from 1 species
UACGUAGGGUGCAAGCGUUGUCCGGAUUUAUUGGGCGUAAAGAGCUCGUAGGCGGUCUGUCGCGUCGGAUGUGAAAACCCAGGGCUCAACCCUGGGCCUGCAUUCGAUACGGGCAGACUAGAGUAUGGCAGGGGAGACUGGAAUUCCUGGUGUAGCGGUGAAAUGCGCAGAUAUCAGGAGGAACACCGGUGGCGAAGGCGGCUUUCUGGUCUGUAACUGACGCUGAGGCGCGAAAGCGUGGGGAGCAAACAGG